rnacentral:rRNA from 1 species
AGUGGGGAAUUGUUCGCAAUGGGCGCAAGCCUGACGACGCAACGCCGCGUGGAGGAUGAAGGUCUUCGGAUUGUAAACUCCUGUUGAUCGGGACGAAAAGCUUCGACCUAACACGUCGAAGACUGACGGUACCGGUUGAGGAAGCCACGGCUAACUCUGUGCCAGCAGCCGCGGUAAUACAGAGGUGGCAAGCGUUGUUCGGAAUUACUGGGCGUAAAGGGCGCGUAGGCGGCCUUCUAAGUCGGACGUGAAAGCCCCAGGCUUAACCUGGGAACUGCGUCCGAUACUGGGAGGCUUGGAUUCGGGAGAGGGAUGUGGAAUUCCAGGUGUAGCGGUGAAAUGCGUAGAUAUCUGGAGGAACACCGGUGGCGAAGGCGGCAUCCUGGACCGAGAUCGACGCUGAGGCGCGAAAGCUAGGGGAGCAAA